CUUCCGGGUGCAUAUCUAGCGAAUCCCCACUUCCCCCGACCCUAGCAACCGCCGUGGCUUCUCUAGUGAUUCGUCUUGGCUGCCCCGCCCACUGAAGGAAGUGAAGAUGACAAAAAGUUGCCAAAGGAAGCCAACUUGACGGCCCCCGUCAUUUUAUUCUGGGCUGGGGCGAAUUGACGUGUUCUGCCGAAAACAGGAAACGGGGAAUGAGGGGAAUGAGGGAAAGGAGGAGGAAAACUGAAGUUCUGAGAAGCUAACUGAUCUGCCCCAUGGUCAUAAAGCUGUUGUGUUGCAGCAGGGACUUAAGCCUCAUUAUCCUAACUUCAAAUUCAUGGUGGGAGUUGUUGCUUUUUCAUACCAUCACACUGCUUCUUAUGAGCAAAUAUGAUGGAAUACUACUUGAAUUAAUGUAUCAAGCCCGUCUAACUGGAAAUAAAGGAGAUAGUGAAGAAGGCAAGAGGAAGACAAAAGGUGAAGCGGGACAGAGAAACCUCUAGGGCAGUGUUGGUGAACCUUUUAGAGAUCACAUGUCCAAACUGCACAGCCACCUAUGAUCCUCACCCCCCACCCACAUUACCCCAGAGAGUAGAAGAAGUGUUCGCAUUGGGUAACUGGGCAAAGGGGCAGGGGCAUGUGGGAAAUGUCCUCAGGUGAGAUGGAGAGGGGGAAUGGAGCAGCUCCCCCAGGCACACCAGGACACAGGUGCAACGCCUUCACCUAUAUGGCUCUUAGGGCCUUCUCUCAGUGACAGUUAUUGCCAAGAUAGUUUCCAUAGCCCAAAAUUAUUAGGGAGGCCAUCAUGCCCUACAUCCAUUGGUAAGGGUAAGAUUAUGAGAAGCACAGUGAAGGAUCUGGAAUCUUCCUCAUUGAAAGGUACAAUAGAAAAAGAAAACAGGACAGAAGAGGAAGGAGGAAAAUGUGAAAGAAGUACAGAAUUUAUGAGAAAAGAAAAAGUUUAUCUAGAAGAAAAUUAUAUUCUAAGUUCCUUCUCCCUUGCCUCUCCACCCUGACCCUAAUUUCUGGCAUAUAAACUCAUCAUUGAAAAGAAAAAAAUACUACUCUAUCAUCGUCUUCUUGUUACCUCCCAGUUAUUUCCACACUUAAUAAAUGCUUUUAUGUCUAGCAUUGAUUUUAACACAAUAAUUAAAAAUUAGAAGCUAUGUGAUAGAAAAA